GAGAAGGGAGAGAGAGCCUGGGUGUGCGUGCGUGCAAUUUCUCGACCUAAAACAUUUGCCUGUGGACUGGUGCGUUCUCGAGUUCUCAGGAAGUCUCUAUGUAUGGCCUUGACUCAAACACAAAGGGCUUGAUGUUGCUUUGUCCUUCCCUUACCUGGCCAUUAAAGGGGAUUGGAAACACUUCAGGAGUAGAUCUAAGCAAAGAUAUAUAUUCAAUCCACUAAUACUAAACAUGUGCAUUUAACAUAAAAACAUCUCUAUAUUUAGUGUUUUGAUUGUCGACCAGGUUUAUUUGAGCAAUGAUCAGCGCCAUUUUAAAUUGCCAUAGAAACGACUGACGCCAGUGCGUGCAUCACUGGCAGGAAUCAGAAAAUUGUCUGUGGUAUUGAAUUUGUGCUAAGAGAGUGAAUCGUAGAGAGUGAGGAUACGCGCGGACAAUGAAGAUGGCGACAAGUGGCUCCAAAAAAAUCCCUCUGUAAACUUCCAUCGGCUGCCCAAGAACCUACAACUUUUGAAGAAGUGGCUCCAUGUCCUGAAGAGGAAGGACGUGCCAGCUUGAGCUUGCAGGAUCUGCAGACAGCACUUUGCGGAGGGAGACUUUGCUAUGAAGGGCCAGGCUAGCGUUUGACACGAGAUGAAGGAUGACAUAUUCAUCCCUGAAAUGUUUUCAUCCUGGAGGAGUCUGUGCAGGAGGCAGAGGAAAGAACGGUUAGUGCAGCAUGCCAAACUGACCACCUGGUGCCAGAGUGUUCCUGUGCUGCGGUGGAGAAGAGGUCCAGCGGGACCAUCACCAAAGAGCUCUGGGCCCAGCUAGAUUGCGCUCAGAACCAUCAGUAUACAAUCGAGUCCUGCCCCUAUACGCCACAGAUGGAGCUGACGGACAGUGAGAUCAGUGAAGACCAUAACUCGCUGUAAAAAUCGCAAUCAUCUCAGUGCGAGCCAAGAUAUACUAUCAAUCACUUUGGGGAAGCGGGAUGGUGUUCCGAAAAUGGAGAAGGAGCAGGCCAUUCAACAGCGAAUUCAAAGAUACACCCAUCCAUAAAGGGAAUCCGAAUGGAAUAGUUUUCCCGCGUGUGUUUUUUUUUUACCCUUUUCAAUGGAUGUGCUACCUACAGUGCCUUGCAAAAGUAUUCGGCCCCCUUGAACUUUGCGACCUUUUGCCACCU